CCUACGGGAGGCAGCAGUGAGGAAUAUUGGUCAAUGGCCGGGAGGCUGAACCAGCCAAGUCGCGUGAGGGAAGACGGCCCUACGGGUUGUAAACCUCUUUUGUCAGGGAGCAAGGUGCAGGUCGGGACCUGCUGUGAGAGUACCUGAAGAAAAAGCAUCGGCUAACUCCGUGCCAGCAGCCGCGGUAAUACGGAGGAUGCGAGCGUUAUCCGGAUUUAUUGGGUUUAAAGGGUGCGCAGGCGGAGGUGCAAGUCAGCGGUCAAAUUGCGGGGCUCAACCCCGUACUGCCGUUGAAACUGCAUCCCUUGAGUGCGCGAGAAGUAUGCGGAAUGCGUGGUGUAGCGGUGAAAUGCAUAGAUAUCACGCAGAACUCCGAUUGCGAAGGCAGCAUACCGGCGCGCAACUGACGCUCAUGCACGAAAGCGUGGGUAUCGAACAGGAUUAGAUACCCUGGUAGUC
rnacentral:rRNA from 1 species